rnacentral:rRNA from 1 species
GACAGAGGGUGCAAACGUUGUUCGGAAUUACUGGGCGUAAAGCGAGUGUAGGCGGUUCGAUAAGUCGGAUGUGAAAGCCCCGGGCUCAACCCGGGAAGUGCGCUCGAUACUGUCGAGCUAGAGUAUCGGAGAGGUUGGUGGAAUUCUCGGUGUAGAGGUGAAAUUCGUAGAUAUCGAGAGGAACACCGGUGGCGAAGGCGGCCAACUGGACGAAUACUGACGCUGAGACUCGAAAGCGUGGGGAGCAAACAGG